rnacentral:rRNA from 1 species
GAGUUUGAUCAUGGCUCAGAUUGAACGCUGGCGGCAUGCCUUACACAUGCAAGUCGAACGGCAGCAUGAUCUAGCUUGCUAGAUUGAUGGCGAGUGGCGAACGGGUGAGUAAUACAUCGGAACGUGCCCUGUAGUGGGGGAGUAACUAGUCGAAAGAUUAGCUAAUACCGCAUACGACCUGAGGGUGAAAGUGGGGGACCGCAAGGCCUCAUGCUAUAGGAGCGGCCGAUGUCUGAUUAACUAGUUGGUGGGGUAAAGGCCCACCAAGGCGACGAUCAGUAGCUGGUCUGAGAGGACGAUCAGCCACACUGGGACUGAGACACGGCCCAGACUCCUACGGGAGGCA